UACGUAGGGUGCAAGCGUUAAUCGGAAUUACUGGGCGUAAAGCGUGCGCAGGCGGUUUGUAAGUCUGUCGUGAAAUCCCCGGGCUCAACCUGGGAAUUGCGAUGGAGACUGCAAGGCUAGAAUCUGGCAGAGGGGGGUAGAAUUCCACGUGUAGCAGUGAAAUGCGUAGAGAUGUGGAGGAACACCGAUGGCGAAGGCAGCCCCCUGGGUCAAGAUUGACGCUCAUGCACGAAAGCGUGGGGAGCAAACGA
rnacentral:rRNA from 1 species